rnacentral:rRNA from 1 species
UCGAGAAUAAUUCACAAUGGGGGCAACCCUGAUGGUGCAACGCCGCGUGGAGGAUGACGGUCUUCGGAUUGUAAACUCCUGUCAUCCGGGAGUAAGACCUGGCUGUGAAUAGCAGACAGGGUUGAUAGUACCGGAAGAGGAAGGGACGGCUAACUUCGUGCCAGCAGCCGCGGUAAUACGAAGGUCCCGAGCGUUGUUCGGAAUCACUGGGCGUAAAGGGAGCGUAGGCGGCGUGGUAAGUCAGAUGUGAAAUCCUGGGGCUCAACCCCGGAACUGCAUCCGAUACUGCCGUGCUAGAGGAUUGGAGAGGUAGCUGGAAUUCUUGGUGUAGCAGUGAAAUGCGUGGAUAUCAAGAGGAACACUCGUGGCGAAAGCGAGCUACUGGACAACUCCUGACUCUGAGGCUCGAAGGCCAGGGUAGCGAAAG